rnacentral:lncRNA from 1 species
UGGGUUAUAGAAUUGAUUGCAUGUAUUUAAAAAACUUAGUUGAGCUUUCUCUAUGUAAUAAUUAUAGAUAUUGUGUGAUCCAUCCAUUUGAGUAGCCAUUAUAGGUCUUUCAAGUAUUUUUAAUAAGUGUUCUGGUACUAUUUCUUUAUUGAUUAAACAGCUAGUACAUCCGGGAUCUACUAAUGCUAGAGUUUCUAUUUCUACGUCUUUUAUUUUGAUUUUUACUAAGACUUUAAUGGUAGAGAAUUCUUUAUCUUCGUUGCAUAUUAGAUUAGUAUUAGUAUCUUCUAAAUUCAUAAGUUCUGCCUCUAAUUUCUCUAAAUGUACUGCUUCUUGGGUAUCCGUUUCUUCUAAGGUGAUUUUUGUUUUUCCUUUUUCUAGAAUAGUUAAUCUUUGUUCUAGAUCAUUUAAUUGGGUUUCUA